rnacentral:lncRNA from 11 species
UUAAAACUAAUUGAUCUGAUGCUUUUCCCCAUGUAAACAACAUGAUAAAAACAGCUAAGUGCCUUAACAGCCAGAGCAAGAAAGAGGUGUCUGUCACCAAUAAUCCCCCAGUUCCAAAACUCUGUGGUCUCCGUCUAGGCGAGAUAGAAUUGCUGUGUAUAUUGCUGUGACAAAGUUAAAAUCUGUAAUAUGGAAACAAACAUGCUGGAAUGAAGAUAAGAGAAAAUCUCUCCAAUACAUUUGCCACCUGAAGUAAUUCCAGUCCCG